rnacentral:lncRNA from 1 species
GAGAGGGAGAGGAGGGAGGAACAGAGACGCGGGAGGAGGAGUCGGAGCGGGCGGACGCGGGGACUCCAGGUCUGAAUGGCAGGAGCCUCGAGGGCCACCCGGCGGUUACUGGGGAGACGCUUUGUUUGCUAACUUCGAAAACUGCUCCGGCCGCCUCGGUCGCUGGCGAAGCGACUCCACUAAACCCGCUUUGGGUCUUUGGAGCCCUGCCCCCCGCCCGAGACAACCGAGAUUCCUUCUUCCCCUAGUUAUCCCUUGGCCACGCCGUAGCUUGCUUUCCUCAGGUCCACAAAGGAACACAAAGUUCCAUUUGUUGUCUUUAUCUACUGAAGCUGCCUCAAGGCCAAGAAAAGAAACACAGUUGUAUAAAGGUAAGUUAUUUUUCACAGUCUGCAAAUCCUGCAAAGGCAAAAACUCUGAAAUUUGAGGAGGCGGCUUAAGCUGGAAAAGGGAUAUUCAUAUGGAAAUUGUCUUGAGUGAAUAACCCGGAAGAAGAAAAAAAGGGGAGGGGGUAAAUCAUUGGUGAGGUGCAAAUAUCAUUUUUUUAACUUAGAAUCCACCCAGUGAUUGGAGAAUGUAUUUGUUCCAUUUAUCUAUUCAACAGGUACUAGUUGAGCAAGAUUUCUUUCCCGCACCAUGGUGAUCCCUUUUGUCGGAGUAAAGGAUGGGUGUCAGAUACUUUGGUAAACUGUAUUGCGCUCCAAAGCUCCCAGACUACAUGAUUCUAAUAAUACCUUCACAUCUUGAGCUACUAAAGGAGAAGCUGACCAUUGUUUUUUCAAGGGGCUGGGGCUGAGCUACCACCAUCUUUUGGUGAUUUUAUCAGGAUUAUUCUCCUCCUCAUAGUUAAAUAAAUAAUAUAACUGGUACUCCUGCUUGUUUUUAAUCACUUUUGUCCUCGCCUGCAUGCCCCUUUGAGCCCUUCUUUCUCCUUCAUAGCCCCGUCAUCACUUCCCCUAGAGGAUAACCGGAACACAGUAAAAGGAUAACUUGUUGAGCUUGGCUUUUAUUCCUUUUGUUCUCAACAUCUCGUGUUUGUUGUGCUUUACAGUUUAUCAAACACUUAUUUGAAUGAUCAUUUAAUGUUCAAACUAAUAA